CCUACGGGUGGCAGCAGUGGGGAAUAUUGCACAAUGGGGGGAACCCUGAUGCAGCAAUGCCGCGUGAAGGAUGAAGGUUUUCGGAUUGUAAACUCCUUUUGUCCGUGACGAAGAAAUUGACGGUACCGUAAGAAUAAGCCACGGCCAACUACGUGCCAGCAGCUGCGGUAAUACGUAGGUGGUAAGCGUUCUCCGUAUUUACUUGGUGUAAAGGGAGAGUAGGCGGUAUUGCAAGUCAGAUGUGAAAACUAUGGGCUCAACCGAUAGAGUGUAUUUGAAACUGCAGUGCUUGAGUGAUGGAGAGGCAGGCGGAAUGCCCGGUGUAGCGGUGAAAUGCGUAGAUAUCAGGAGGAACACCGGCGGCGAAGGCGGCCUGCUGGACCGUAACUGACGUUGAGGCUCGAAAGCGUGGGGAGCAAACAGGAUUAGAUACCCCAGUAGUC
rnacentral:rRNA from 1 species